rnacentral:lncRNA from 1 species
GUGGCCUCGAUGGAAACUGAUUGAGAUGGGGCGUGGUCACGGGGGCGUGGCCACAGUGGGCGUGGUUAUGGGGCUGAUUAUGAGUCGCUCAGUUACCGGGCGCUGUUAUGGGGUCCCUCCUGAGACUGGAACUUCCUGUGUGUCCCCACAGUUUUCUGACCAUUCCUGUUGACUCUUUCUGUUGCAUGAGUGUUUAGAAAGCCUUGGUCCUAGAGACAAAGAUUAAGAUGGAGAUAUUCUUUUAAAUUAAAAAAUGUCAUUGUCCUAAAAUUUUUCAUUUUAAACUUUUUUGGGGGGGGUGGUACCAGGCAUAAACCCAGGGGUGCUUACCCACAGAGCCACAUCCCCAGCCCCUUUUUGUGUUUUAUUUUGAGACAUGGUCUAAGUUGCUUAGGGCCUCGCUACGUUGCUGAGGCUGGCCUCUAACUUGCGAUCCUUCCUCCUCAGCCUCCAGAGUCCCUGGGAUUACAGGUGUGUGCUGCCGUGUCCGGCUGUCACUUGGAUUUAAAGUCCAGAUUUCAGAGGGGAAAGGGAUGACAAAAGGGAGUAAGUUAAAAUGGAUCUAACCCAGUUUUCCUUUGUGCAUGUAGGAAUAUCACUCACCCCAGGCUGCAGCUGGACUGUCCUCUACCCUGUUUCUGUGCCUCAUUUUGAUCCAACCUCAAAUAAUAAUAAUAAUAAUAAUAAUAAUAAUAAUAAUAAUAAUACUGCAAUAGUGACAGGAACCUCCCUUUAUGGAGACCUCCUGAGGACCCUCCGAAUGCUUUAGCUUUUAUAUUUAGGGCUGUCAUUGACUUUGAGGCAAAGCUCUGCCUAAGUGUGGGGGAAAAAUGUAGAAAGUUAUUUUUUAAAAUUAUUUAAAAAAUUCUGUUAUUCUGUUGUUUUCCACUGGGAAUUGCCUUGGAUAUUUUGUUAAAAAUCUCACUGCAGUCAGAGGGGCAGUUAUCAAGAAGACAAACAACAGUAAGUGUUGGCGAGGAUGUGGGGACCAGGCUCCUUCCUACAUGGUUGGUGGGACUGCAAAUUGGAGCAACCACUCUGGAAAGCAGGAUGGAGAUUCUUCAGGAAACUUGGAAUACAACCACCAUGGGACCCAGCUGUCCCACUCCUCCAUUUAUACCCAAGGGACUUAAAAUCAGCACACUACAGGGACACAGCGACAUCCAUGUUUAUAGCCGCUCAACUCACAAUAGCUAAGCUAUGGAGCCAACCUAGGUGCCCUUCAACAGAUGAAUGGAUAAAGACAAUGUGGUAUAUCUACACAGUGGAAUAUUACUCAGCCACGAAGAAGACAGGUAAAGGGAUGGAGCUGGAGACUAUCAUGCUAAAUGAAAUAAGCCAAUCCCAAAGAGUCAAAAUCUGAAUAUUUUUUUCUGGUCUGUGGAUGCUAAUUCACAAUAAGGGGGUGUCUAGGGAAGAAUAGAGGUGCUUUGGACUAGGCAGAGGGGAGUGAAGGGAGGGAAGGGGUGUG